rnacentral:rRNA from 1 species
CAAGUCGAGCGCAGGAAACUGACGGAACUCUUCGGAGGGAGGGCAGCGGGAUGAGCGGCGGACGGGUGAGUAACACGUGAACAAUCUGCCUCAAAGUGGGGGAUAACCAUUCCAACGGAUGGCUAAUACCGCAUAGGGUUUGGGGGUCGCAUGACCCCUUCACGAAAGCAUUUAUGCGCUUUGAGAUGAGUUCGCGUCCCAUUAGCUAGUUGGCGGGGUAACGGCCCACCAAGGCAACGAUGGGUAGCCGGCCUGAGAGGGUGUCCGGCCACAUUGGGACUGAGAUACGGCCCAGACUCCUACGGGAGGCAGCAGUAGGGAAUUUUGCGCAAUGGGGGAAACCCUGACGCAGCAACGCCAUGUGUGGGAUGAAGCAUUUCGGUGUGUAAACCACUGUCGGCAGGGAAUAAAGCCCACAUUUAUGUGGGGGUGAAUGUACCUGCAGAGGAAGCCCCGGCUAACUUCGUGCCAGCCGCCGCCGUAA